ACGCACGCUGGCGGCAUGCCUAACCCCUGCCAGUCGAACGAUGCCUUCGGGCAUAGUGGCGCACGGGUGCGUCACGCGUGGGAAUCUGCCUUUCGGUUCGGAAUAACUCAGGGUAACUUGAGCUAAUACCGGAUAACGUCGCAAGACCAAAGAUUUAUCACCGAAAGAUGAGCCCGCGUAGGAUUAGCUAGUUGGUGAGGUAAAGGCUCACCAAGGCGAGGAUCCUUAGCUGGUCUGAGAGGAUGAUCAGCCACACUGGGACUGAGACACGGCCCAGACUCCUGCGGGAGGCAGGAGUGGGGAAUAUUGGACAAUGGGCGAAAGCCUGAUCCAGCAAUGCCGCGUGAGUGAUGAAGGCCUUAGGGUUGUAAAGCUCUUUUACCCGGGAAGAUAAUGACGGUACCGGGAGAAUAAGCCCCGGCUAACUCCGUG
rnacentral:rRNA from 1 species